UUGGGCCAUUAUUUGAGUUCCUAUGCUCAAAUGGGGGUGUUGCGUCUUCUCAAAACCCUGGAGAUAGGCAACUGGAACCAAAUUGCACAUGCUUAGAAGAUGGGGGAAGAAGUCCUCUCACCUCUGUCAACCUUUGGUGACCUCUGGUUUCCUUGGCACGGCCGUGUCACCCCAAACUCCUCCUUGGCUUUGUCACCUCCUCCUCUUCCACCAUGAUCCUCUCUCCUUCCAUCUUUCUUUAUGACACUAGUGAUGACAUGGGGGGUCCUUUGAAAGAUCCUAGACAAUCUACUACUUCAAGAUCCUCAACUCAGCCACCUUGAUAAAACCCGAUGGGAAGUAAGAAUUAGGCCCCGGGUGUCUUUGGGGCCAUUACUCAGCCUAUCUCAGGCAAGGACACAGGCAACCGGGUUGGUGCUGGAUUUCCCUCCCUAGAGGAGGAGGCCAGAACAAGAUGAGAAGAUCCAGAGUAGAGACAACAUCAUCACUGGAAUUAACUGGAAGUCAUCCUGAGACGAGGUGAAUAGGAUCAGAUGGGUAUCAAAGGGUUCCCUUCCUAAGAGAAGGCUCCCACCAGUCUGGGAAUACCUAUCAACCACCUGUAUAAAAAUACCCCUACCGCCAAAUCAGCUUCCUGGCAAGAUGGACUCUUGGGAAUCCUCCAUAUUCCAGUCUAGUUGGAUUUUGAAUAAAACCACCUUCCUUCCUCAA